rnacentral:rRNA from 1 species
CGGGGGCAACCCUGGUGGCGAGUGGCGAACGGGUGAGUAAUACAUCGGAACGUGCCCAGUCGUGGGGGAUAACGUAGCGAAAGCUACGCUAAUACCGCAUACGAACUCUGGUUGAAAGCGGGGGAUCGCAAGACCUCGCGCGAUUGGAGCGGCCGAUGGCAGAUUAGGUAGUUGGUGGGGUAAAGGCUCACCAAGCCGACGAUCUGUAGCUGGUCUGAGAGGACGACCAGCCACACUGGGACUGAGACACGGCCCAGACUCCUACGGGAGGCAGCAGUGGGGAAUUUUGGACAAUGGGCGCAAGCCUGAUCCAGCCAUUCCGCGUGCAGGAUGAAGGCCCUCGGGUUGUAAACUGCUUUUGUACGGAACGAAAAGGCUCUGGUUAAUACCUGGGGCUCAUGACGGUACCGUAAGAAUAAGCACCGGCUAACUACGUGCCAGCAGCCGCGGUAAUACGUAGGGCGCAAGCGUUAAUCGGAAUUACUGGGCGUAAAGCGUGCGCAGGCGGUGAUGUAAGACAGGUGUGAAAUCCCCGGGCUUAACCUGGGAACUGCAUUUGUGACUGCAUCGCUGGAGUGCGGCAGAGGGGGAUGGAAUUCCGCGUGUAGCAGUGAAAUGCGUAGAUAUGCGGAGGAACACCGAUGGCGAAGGCAAUCCCCUGGGCCUGCACUGACGCUCAUGCACGAAAGCGUGGGGAGCAAACAGGAUUAGAUACCCUGGUAGUCCACGCCCUAAACGAUGUCAACUGGUUGUUGGGUCUUCACUGACUCAGUAACGAAGCUAACGCGUGAAGUUGACCGCCU